rnacentral:lncRNA from 10 species
GAUCCAAAUCUUAGGCUUUAAGGGGUUCUGUGCAGAUCCUCAGCAGCCUCCCCAGCUUCAGAUCCGGCCUCCUGAGCUCCAGUCUCUCUGAUACCUGCACCCAGGCUCAGGUGCAGGCCAGAGCUCACCUGACUCUGGUGAGCUGCUCUGCCCUACACCGGGAUUGCAGCACACAUCACAUGGCGCUGUCAUUGUCAGAUCCAUCUCUGUGUCCCCACACCCAGCCUGACACAUGGAGCCUGGGAUACAAUAGAUGCUCAAACCGUUGAUGGUUUAGGUGCCAGUGGCUUCCGAAUAAAACAGCAUUCUUGAAGUGAACAGCUGAUGAGGACAUGAAAUAUUAUGCCAAAGCUGGCAUCACACUGUUCUUUUUCCUGGAUGAAAAUCUCUCUGAGAAGCAUUUGCUCUUAACUUUGGUGUCCUGGGGACUGCUGCCUUAUCCCAGGAAGCCACCCAGAGUCUUGGAUGUGUGGGAUCCUUAGGACUUCAUGGUAAACCUGCUCUAGUCCCUCGGGUUAGUAAAAUGAAGCCCAGGACAUCUGAGAGCCCCCAGCACUUCCAUAGAAAUGGACCAAAAUCCCUUCUCCCAGGGGGAGAAACCUGGAAUAAGCUCAAGAGGACAGACGGCUAAAUUUUCAAGAAUCGUGUGAGCUGCUGUUAAACAAGCCAUUAUUAAAACUUUAAUUGUGUAAACUUACAAUUAGGUCAGUUAUAUUAAAAGUAAAAGUGAUACAUACCCCAAACUCAUCUCUUUCAAGUUAUUUUACUAUAUUUUACUGUUUUCUAUAGGCUUGAAGUUAUUUACAUCUACUGUAAGUGUGGGGGUGGAAAUUCAAUAUAAUGACACGCUACCAAGCACCUCUUCUCAACUUGGUGUUUAGUGACCUCACCAAGGUAGCUUCAAACAGGCUGUGAUGGGAGUAUUUACACCUCAGAAAUUAGCAAAUGCUAUUAAUUAGGGCUCUUUUCCCCCCAGAGACCCUGGUAUUAAGCAUUUAUUAGCACCUGGGCACAGUGGCUCACGCCUGUAAUCCCAGCACUUUGGGAGGCCGAGGCAGGCGGAUCACCUGAGGUCGGGAGUUUGAGACCAGCCUGACCAACAUGGAGAAACCCCGUCUCUACCAAAAAUACAAAAUUAGCCAGGCAUACUGGCGCAUGCCUGUAGUCCCAGCUACUCGGGAGGCUGAGGCCGGAGAAUCGCUUGAACCUGGGAGGCGAAGGUUGCGGUGAGUUAAGAUUGAGCCAUUGCACUCUAGCCUGGGCAACAAGAGCGAAACUCCUUCUAAAAACAUUUAUUAGCUCACACUUCCAUCUCUUACCUAGGCCAGUACUGUGGACAAUUCAGAAGCAGCUCCCUCCCUCCUUCUCCACUGGAUCUACAGUCGAAUCCCUUGAGCAUAGACCCAGAUCUUGCUCAAUUUGGGGUCAUGAUUUGGUGCCGUGGCCUCCUCAAAACUUCCUUCUUCCACAGCAUCACACAUUCCAGCUACACUCAGCUCCUUGCAGUUUCUUAAAUAAAAUACAGGUUUUCCCAUUCCUCUGGUGCUUUGCAUAUUAAUUUCCUUCUUUGGCUAGGGUAGGGGGGAUGUUUUUUCUCUCCUUUUCUAGAUUUUUAUUCUGCAAGAGUCAGAAAGUAUCUCCUCUGGGGAACCUUUCUUAAAUCCCCCACACCUGCCUCAUCCCACCCCACUGCAGGCUGCAUAUAGCAGUGUGUUGGUAAAUAUUUAACAGCCAACUUUCUGAAAAGGGAGGGAAAAAGUCCUUAUUUUUAGCAUCUGCCAAUUUCCAUGGUGUAAAGAUGCCCAUCGUGGCCAAUUUUGAGCUGACAACAUGCAGUCUUUGAGAGUAAAUUUGGGAAGAGGCGUGCCAGCUGGUCUGGGCCAAUUCCAGCACAUCACUGACUGGAUCAGAUGUCUUUUCUGUCUCACAGCAGCCACACCCCCAUACAGCCCUCAUAAUACAGUGCCAUGCCAAGCCAUGUUGGAGCCUGAAGCAAAAGGAAAAAUUAAUAACACUGAUCCUGUCUUCAUUUAAAAGUUUGAUCUCGGCUGGGCGCGGUGGCUCAUGCCUAUAAUCCCAGCACUUUGGGAGGCUGAGCGGGGUGGAUAACCUGAGGUCAGGAGUUUGAGACCAGCCUGUCCAACAUGGUGAAACCCCGUCUCUACCAAAAAUACAAAAAAUUAGCCAGAUGUGGUGGCGCGCGCAUAUAAUCCCAGCUCCUUGGGAGGCCAAGGCAGAAGAAUCGCUUGAACCUGGGAGGCGGAGGUUGCAGUGAGCCGAGAUUGCACCAUCGCACUCCAGCCUGGGGCACAAGAGUGAAACUCCGUCUCAAAAAAAAAAAAACGGUAUUAAAAUAUUAUUUAUCUUGUUUACUGAGAUUUUGGAUUUUGGCACCACACUGAAUUUGACCCUGAGGUAAGUGUCUUAUUCACCUCUUCUCAUCCUAGUCCUGACCUAAUAGCCCAUAUCACACUGUUACAAUUAAUUUCAGUAUAGCUGUCUCCCCCACCAACUUGUGAAGUUUAAGGACAGGAAUCCAUUUUUGUGUUCCUAGGACUUGGCACACAGUAGGUGCUUAGUAACUAUUGUCCAGUGAGGAAGUGGAUGAGCAGAUGGAUGAACCAAUCACCCAGUUUCUUUGCCCACAAAAUAAGACACACUGAUGAAAGUCAUCCUUGGCUAUUAACCAGGGACAGGUGUUAGUUUUUGAGUUUUAGCUCUUCCAGUUCAGCAAAGAUUACUCUGCCCCUGACCUAUGGAAGCCAGCUCCUGUGCUGGGCAUUUUGACCAGGGCUGAUCUGCAGACGCCUCCAGCCUGGGGAAACAAUGAAGGGAAAAUGAGUCUGGAAAGUGGAGACUCCACCAGGACCAGGGGUGAGAAGUCGCAGAGAGGCAGCCAUCCCUGAGCCCCCAGGCCUCAGAGCUCCUGCCUCUGGAUGAGUCCUAGGAGAUUUCCAUUUGGCAAGGGCAAUGGAAAGGAGAUCCAAGCACUAGAAACUUCAGGAUGGCUUCCAAGUGUCAAAUUUGAUGGGUCAGCUGCCGUCUGAGGAUACCAGGACUUGUUUCUGUGUGUGGUCACUGCCUCACUCUGAAGACCACCAAAAAAGAGAUUGUCUGGAGAUGUGGAAUCAUGGGCUUUGCAGACAUCUCACUGGACUCUGGUCUGCAUGGGCGUGGACGUUAAGAGGCUCUGUUUACAUAAGAUUGGCCGUGGCAUCUGUUUUUUAAGCACUUGAUAUCUGCCGGGUCUCCUGUAAAGAGCUUUGCACAUAUUAGCUCAUUGAUUACUCACAAAAUCCUCAGAUGUAGACAUUAUUCUGCUUCUUUUACAGAUGAGUAGCAGAGAAGCUGGCAACCUGCCCAAGGUCUCACAGCUGGUAACUAAUGGAACUGAAACACUAACCUAGAACCAUCUGAUUCUAGAGCCCAUGAUCUUAACCACUCUAUGCAAAGAAAAGGAAUUUCGAAGAUGGGCCCCUUUCCAGCACUAGUGCCUGUAAACACCAAAAAUAGAGGUGGGAUUUGGCAGAUGCAGUCAUUUUUGUCCUUCUCUGAGCUGGCCUUGUCCUCUGCUCUCCGAGCCUGUCCAUCACAGAAGCUCCCAGGGUCUCUCCCCCUACCACUCAUCCACUUCUCCAGCCAGUGUCCACAGGGGAGUUGAAUGUCUCUAAAGGGAAAUUCUUCCACUCAAAGACACUCAUCUCAUUUGGAGGAGUCAGGAGAGGAGAAGGAAGUGAAGAAGCAGUGAGCAUCUCUCAUCUGCCAAGCUCUAUGCACACAUUAGGGGUCCUUCUCAUCCCAGGACGAGGGGGCAGGUGUUUUUCUCAUCCUUAUAUUAAGGACUUGCAUUGUUCAAUAUAGUAGCCACUAGUCUCAUGUAGCUACUUAAAUUUCAAUUCC